rnacentral:rRNA from 1 species
GAUGAACGCUGGCGGCGUGCCUAAUACAUGCAAGUCGAGCGAACAGACGAGGAGCUUGCUCCUCUGACGUUAGCGGCGGACGGGUGAGUAACACGUGGAUAACCUACCUAUAAGACUGGGAUAACUUCGGGAAACCGGAGCUAAUACCGGAUAAUAUAUUGAACCGCAUGGUUCAAUAGUGAAAGACGGUUUCGCUGUCACUUAUAGAUGGAUCCGCGCCGCAUUAGCUAGUUGGUAAGGUAACGGCUUACCAAGGCAACGAUGCGUAGCCGACCUGAGAGGGUGAUCGGCCACACUGGAACUGAGACACGGUCCAGACUCCUACGGGAGGCAGCAGUAGGGAAUCUUCCGCAAUGGGCGAAAGCCUGACGGAGCAACGCCGCGUGAGUGAUGAAGGUCUUCGGAUCGUAAAACUCUGCUAUUAGGGAAGAACAAAUGUGUAAGUAACUAUGCACGUCUUGACGGUACCUAAUCAGAAAGCCACGGCUAACUACGUG